AGAAAAGUGACGUAGUUGUGAAGUGCACAUGCGCAAUACACCUCCAUGGGUAGGAUGAAAUGUUUGAGCGCUGCAAACGCUGAAUGGGGGUAAAGGAUGGAUUAUUACAGAUUGGAGUUUAUAAUAUUCGUCAUCACAGCAAUAGAAGCGCGUCACCUGAAAACAUGGAUCGAGAUGGCGGAAACUGCAGCGCAUGUAACCGGAGAGACCACUAACCCAGAAGAGGAGAUGGCUAUACUGAUUGAGGAGCUGCACUCCCCAUGAGUGUUCUUGAGCUUGCUGGAAGAGCACAAUCUUGAGCCUGAUAAGACGGCCACCACCCUCUAAGCCACAGGUGUCAAACUCCAGUCCUGGAGGGCCGUAGUGUCUGCUGGUUUUUGGGGUGGGCUGGUUAAUUGGCCUUAAUUGGCAGCUGAUUGAAAGGAAACCACAAAAACCAGCAGACACUGCGGCCCCCGGGGGAUUCAGUUUGACACCCCUGCUCUAAGCCCUGAAUAUCGAUUAUCCAAAACGUGAAGUGCACUUCUGGUGGCCAUUUUGAACAUCAGUGGAGGCAGAAGAAUUUUGGUACAGGGAACGGCUGAACCAAGACAGAGACGAGAGGCUGCCCAGACCCCCAGGGGCAUGUGCUUUCCUGCGGCAUUAAUUCUGCACCCAUAAAAUGUGACUGUUUUCACACUGUCUGUGAAGAGCUGACUGGAGCUUGAUGGGCUACCAAAAUAAAUGCUCUUGGCCUGGCAGCAGGGAGGAAAUUUG